rnacentral:rRNA from 9 species
GGAAGGCGGGGAUGACGUCAAGUCAGCAUGCCCCUUACACCCUGGGCUACACACGUGCUACAUUGGGCGAGACAAUGAGAUGCUAAUCUGCGAAGAUACGCUAAUCUAUAAACUCGUUCUAAGUUCGGAUUGUAGGCUGCAACUCGCCUACAUGAAGAUGGAAUCGCUAGUAAUCGCUGGUCAGCAUACAGCGGUGAAUCCGUUCCCGGGCCUUGUACACACCGCCCGUCACACCAUGGGAGCUGGUUAUACCCGAAGUCGUUACUCUAACCAUUUGGAGGAGGACGCCUAAGGUAGAAUUAGUGACUAGGGUGAAGUCGUAACAAGGUAACCGUACUGG